CAGCAGCCGCGGGAAUACGUAGGGUGCAAGCGUUAAUCGGAAUUACUGGGCGUAAAGCGUGCGCAGGCGGUUAUAUGAGACAGAUGUGAAAUCCCCGGGCUUAACCUGGGAACUGCAUUUGUGACUGUAUAGCUAGAGUACGGCAGAGGGGGAUGGAAUUCCGCGUGUAGCAGUGAAAUGCGUAGAUAUGCGGAGGAACACCGAUGGCGAAGGCAAUCCCCUGGGCCUGUACUGACGCUCAUGCACGAAAGCGUGGGGAGCAAACAGGAUUAGAUACCCCCGUAGUCCCUGUCUCUUAUAA
rnacentral:rRNA from 1 species